rnacentral:rRNA from 1 species
UACGGGGGGAGCAAGCGUUGUCCGGAUUCAUUGGGCGUAAAGAGCGUGUAGGCGGCUCGAUAAGUCCGCUGUGAAAGUCCAGGGCUCAACCCUGGGAUGCCGGUGGAUACUGUCGGGCUCGAGUCCGGAAGAGGCGAGUGGAAUUCCUGGUGUAGCGGUGAAAUGCGCAGAUAUCAGGAGGAACACCAAUGGCGAAGGCAGCUCGCUGGGACGUGACUGACGCUGAGACGCGAAAGCGUGGGGAGCAAACAGG